UACGGAGGGUGCAAGCGUUGUUCGGAAUUACUGGGCGUAAAGAGCGUGUAGGCGGUUUGGCAAGUCAGAUGUGAAAGCCCUGAGCUCAACUCAGGAAGUGCAUUUGAAACUGCUUUACUCGAGUAUGGGAGAGGAGAGUGGAAUUCCCAGUGUAGAGGUGAAAUUCGUAGAUAUUGGGAGGAACACCCGUGGCGAAGGCGACUCUCUGGACCAAUACUGACGCUGAGACGCGAAAGCGUGGGGAGCAAAC
rnacentral:rRNA from 1 species